rnacentral:lncRNA from 1 species
AAGGGUUAAUUGAGAAAUUAACAAAACAAAAACACAAACACUGUUGUGUUCGUGCGAACCAGGGGAGGAAGAAAGGGGAGCCAAAAACCCUAACUGCUAGAUAUCAAGAAAUUGAAGCCUAAAUCACAAGAAAAUUCGAUGCAUGGGUCCUCUUUUUCGAAAAUCUAACCCUAACUAAUGAAGUGGAACGUGUCAAGGAGAGCUCAAGCAUAGGAGGAUAACGGGUCAAGAUAAGGCAAGGUGACAAAUACACUUAUUGGAAUACUCAAGGUUAUGAAUGUCGGACUUUCGAAGUGUUGAUAUAAUAAUGAAACGGUUGAAUGUUGAAAGGAUAAUCGGAUUGAAGUAACUUAUGCGGUUAGAAUAUGCUAUGGACGUUUUAGUUUAUACAAUAUUAUAUGUUUGGUCGUCACCAUCUACUAACAGGUAAAUCCUCAAUUUUGGCGACUUGGAGAAUCGGAGCGAGCGCGUGUUCGUGUUAUGCGAUACCAAACGCUUCCGCUAGCUUGUUCAAAUGUUUUUGAUCCAAAAUUUGUUGUAUUGGUUUUUAGUAGUAUCUUGUUGAACGAAUUGUAGAAUUGUAUCUAGUU